rnacentral:rRNA from 1 species
GCUCGUAGUUGAACCUUGGGUCUGGGUGACCGGUCCUCCUCACCGAGUGCACUGGGAACCCGGACCUUUCCUUCUGGCAAACCUCAUGCCCUUUACUGGGUGUGUUGGGGAUCCAGGACUUUUACUUUGAAAAAAUUAGAGUGUUCAAAGCAGGCAUUUGCUCGAAUACAUUAGCAUGGAAUAAUAGAAUAGGACGUGCGGUUCUAUUUUGUUGGUUUCUAGGACCGCCGUAAUGAUUAAUAGGGAUAGUCGGGGGCAUCCGUAUUCAAUUGUCAGAGGUGAAAUUCUUGGAUUUAUUGAAGACGAACUACUGCGAAAGCAUUUGCCAAGGAUGUUUUCAUUAAUCAGGAACGAAAGUUGAGGGAUCGAAGACGAUCAGAUACCGUCGUAGUCUCAACCAUAAACUAUGCCGACUAGGGAUCGGGCGAUGUUUUAUUCUGACUCGCUCGGCACCUUACGAGAAAU